UCCAGACUCCUACGGGAGGCAGCAGUGGGGGAUAUUGCACAAUGGGGGAAACCCUGAUGCAGCGACGCCGCGUGGGUGAAGAAGUAUUUCGGUAUGUAAAGCCCUAUCAGCAGGGAAGAAAGAAGACGGUACCUGACUAAGAAGCCCCGGCUAACUACGUGCCAGCAGCCGCGGUAAUACGUAGGGGGCGAGCGUUAUCCGGAUUCACUGGGUGUAAAGGGAGCGUAGACGGCCGUGCAAGCCAGGAGUGAAAGCCCGGGGCCCAACCCCGGGACUGCUCUUGGAACUGUGCGGCUGGAGUGCGGGAGGGGCAGGCGGAAUUCCUGGUGUAGCGGUGAAAUGCGUAGAUAUCAGGAGGAACACCGGCGGCGAAGGCGGCCUGCUGGACCGCGACUGACGUUGAGGCUCGAAAGCGUGGGGAGCGAACAGGAUUAGAUACCCUGGUAAC
rnacentral:rRNA from 1 species